rnacentral:rRNA from 1 species
AGUGAACGCUGGCGGCGUGCCUAAUACAUGCAAGUCGAACGGAGUGGCGCACGGGUGAGUAAUGUAUAGCUAAUAUGCCCUACACUAGAGGACAACAGUUGGAAACGGCUGCUAAUACUCCAUAGUGUAGGAUGAGGCUAUAUUGUAUCAGCUAGUUGGUGAGGUAAUGGCGAACGAAGGCGAUGCCGCAUAACUGGUCUGUGAGGAUGAUCAGUCACACUGGAACGGAGACACGGUCCAGACUCCUACGGGAAGGAGCAGUAGGGAAUAGUGCUCAAUGGGGGAAAGCCUGAAGCGUCAACGCCGCGUGGAGGAUGACAAUUUUCGGAGCGUAAACUCCUAUUGUUAUGGAAACGGUACCUAACGAGAAAGCACCGGCUAACUCCGUGCCAGCAGCCGCGGUAAUUC